GGUUAAGUGACUAAGCGUACACGGUGGAUGCCUAGGCAGUCAGAGGCGAUGAAGGGCGUGCUAAUCUGCGAAAAGCGUCGGUAAGGUGAUAUGAACCGUUACAACCGGCGAUACCCGAAUGGGGAAACCCAGUGUGUUUCGACACACUAUCAUGUCAUGAAUACAUAGUGGCAUGAGGCGAACCGGGGGAACUGAAACAUCUAAGUACCCCGAGGAAAAGAAAUCAACCGAGAUUCCCCCAGUAGCGGCGAGCGAACGGGGAGGAGCCCAGAACCUGAAUCGGCUUGUGUGUUAGUGGAAGCGUCUGGAAAGUCGCGCAGCAAAGGGUGAUAGCCCCGUACAC
rnacentral:rRNA from 1 species